rnacentral:rRNA from 1 species
GACGAACGCUGGCGGCGCGCUUAACACAUGCAAGUCGAACGGAAAGGCCUGCUUUCCCUUGUGGAUUGCGGGUACUCGAGUGGCGAACGGGUGAGUAACACGUGAGUGAUCUGCCCCCAACUUGGGUAUAAGCCUGGGAAACUGGGUCUAAUUCCCGAUAGGACUGCAGGGUGGUGCCUGUGGUGGAAAACGAUUUUCUAGUGGUUGGGGAUGAGCUCGCGGCCUAUCAGCUUGUUGGUGGGGUAAUGGCCUACCAAGGCGGCGACGGGUAGCCGGCCUGGGAGGGUGGACGGCGACAUUGGGACUGAGAUACGGCCCAGACUCCUACGGGAGGCAGCAGUGGGGAAUAUUGCACAAUGGGCGGAAGCCUGAUGCAGCGACGCCGCGUGGGGGAUGACGGCCUUCGGGUUGUAAACUCCUUUCGACCGCGAGGAAGCCACCUGGUUGGAAGGGUGGUGACGGUAGUGGUAGAAGAAGCACCGGCUAACUACGUG